GAUGAACGCUAGCUGGAGGCUUAAUACAUGCAAGUCGAGCGGGAUUGGUAGCAAUACCAUGAGAGCGGCGCACGGGUGAGUAACGCGUACACGACCUACCUCUGACAGGGGGAUAGCCCUGGGAAACUGGGAUUAAUACCGCAUAUUAUUCUGAUUAAUAAAGGAUUGGAAUGAAAGUUCAGGCGGUCAGAGAUGGGUGUGCGUCUGAUUAGCUAGUUGGUAGGGUAACGGCCUACCAAGGCGAUGAUCAGUAGGGGGCGUGAGAGCGUGGUCCCCCACACGGGUACUGAGACACGGACCCGACUCCUACGGGAGGCAGCAGUAAGGAAUAUUGGACAAUGGCCGAAAGGCUGAUCCAGCCAUCCAGCGUGCAGGAAGAAGGCCCUAUGGGUUGUAAACUGCUUUUAUCAGGGAAUAAACCUCUGGAUUCACUCCGGAGCUGAAGGUACCUGAAGAAUAAGCACCGGCUAACUCCGUGCCAGCAGCCGCGGUAAU
rnacentral:rRNA from 1 species